rnacentral:lncRNA from 1 species
AAAAGUAUGAUGAUGAAACUUAAAGUGGUGAAGUUUAACCCUUUCUUUUCACACCUUAAUCAGCAAACAAGAAAAGUUCUGCAACAAAAGAGAAAUCACAACCAAUGAAAUGGGCAAUGAGGUUACAAGUGGUGUUACGUUUAGUCGAAGCUCUUGAAUUUUGAACAAAUAAAGGGGGUGCUUUUUAUCACGAUCUCAAUGCCUAUAGAAUUUUGUUUGAUGAGGAAGGUAAUCCUUGACUUUCGUGCUUUGGCUUGAUGAAGAAUAACCUGGAUGGAAAAAGUUAUAGCACGAAUCUUGCUUUCACUCCUCCCGUGUAUCUGUAUCUGAGGACAGAAAUUUGUUUCCAUCCUAUAGGAAGAGUAACGUCUGAAAGCAUGAUAUAUAGCCUUGGGAGUCUUUUGGUUGACCUUCUUAGCGGGAAGCACAUUCCGCCAAGCCAUGUUUUCUUCGUCCUUUGAUGAUCAGUUAUGAUGUUUGUUGCUCUCUGUGUGUAAGUUCUGCUGGUUGGCUGCCGGGCACGUUAUGAUUACGUCUUUUCCAAGCUUAUAUAGGCUGCUGACGUGACUUUAGAGUUGGGGUCUCACUGGAAUAAAGUUAGCCUAAGUCAAGAUGGGCUGUUGUGAACCAAGCUGUUUUCCGAUAACAAGUGCACAGUAAUUCUGGUCUGAUGGCACAAUUGUUUCAGCCAGUCCCAGCUUUUGGAGACCCUUCCUCUUCCAAGUAUCAAAUGAACAUGUCCUACUUCUCCUUCUCAACCCUUAGACAUUCAUUAUUGGUGGCUUUCCUUCAAAUGCAUGUCCGCGUUGUCGAUCUUUUAAGUGCUAGAUGGGAUAUAU